GUUGAACGCUGGCGGCAGGCCUAACACAUGCAAGUCGAGCGGAUGACGGGAGCUUGCUCCUUGAUUCAGCGGCGGACGGGUGAGUAAUGCCUAGGAAUCUGCCUGGUAGUGGGGACAACGUUUCGAAAGGAACGCUAAUACCGCAUACGUCCUACGGGAGAAAGCAGGGGACCUUCGGGCCUUGCGCUAUCAGAUGAGCCUAGGUCGGAUUAGCUAGUUGGUGGGGUAAUGGCUCACCAAGGCGACGAUCCGUAACUGGUCUGAGAGGAUGAUCAGUCACACUGGAACUGAGACACGGUCCAGACUCCUACGGGAGGCAGCAGUGGGGAAUAUUGGACAAUGGGCGAAAGCCUGAUCCAGCCAUGCCGCGUGUGUGAAGAAGGUCUUCGGAUUGUAAAGCACUUUAAGUUGGGAGGAAGGGCAGUAAGUUAAUACCUUGCUGUUUUGACGUUACCGACAGAAUAAGCACCGGCUAACUCUGUGCCAGCCGCCGCCGUAA
rnacentral:rRNA from 1 species